UUUUUUCUGCUCUAGUGUGUGAGAACAGACCUGUGUAGCUGCCCCAGCCCAGCAGUGGAGCAACGGACCAAAACAUCGCUCCGGUCCAGAUGCAGAUGAGCGAUACGGCGAUGGUGUUAAUGCCGAUACAGGAGGCUAGAUCCGACCUUUGUUUGGGUGGCAUCCCUUGAUGUAUCUGGUGACGCUGAUAACGGUCAAGGUGUUGAUGCUUGCAAGGCCGAAGAGCAAGGUGAAGAAACCGUCUACCUGGAAGAAAACGGAGAGAGGUCUGGCUCCAACUGUGCGACACCCGUCUCCUUGCUGUGCCAUUUCCAGGUGACAUGGUUCAGUAAAGGUCUCUGACUGAUUACUCUCUUUAUCUUCCUUAGUCCUAAUCCUAUUACUGUCAGUCAUCACAUUUCUUUUCACCCUCACAUUCAGCACAUUUUGCAUUUUUAUAUGAAUUUAGGACAGUGGCUUCUUGAAAUUGUGUGAUUUGAUCCUCCCAGAUGAUCUCACGGUGUAGUGUUUCACCUCUGUCUUGGCUCACGAGAAAAUAUGUGAUUAUUGGAUCACAAGUUUCAAAAAAGCAAUGACUUAAAAUCAGAGUAUUUUUUAUACGCCUUGUACACUGCUUUGACAAUCCUUUCCCUGUAUUCCCCUUUGCAACAACAAAGGGUCCCAUAAGGCUCUAUCACAUUCAAUAAUGUCCUGUCCCAUACGAUGCAAAACGCAGGGAUGUGGCCCAGCUUGCAAGUGUUCAUGUCCCAUCAUGCUCCAUGCAGUAAUCUGCUAAUGCUUCUCACAUGCCUGUCUCCUUCACCUUCCUGUUCCUUCCCUCCUCUAUUUCUGUCACCUCUUACUUUCUCCUUAUUUACUUCUGACACUCCCUCUCUCUCUCAGCCCACCUCUCCCAGGGGAAGGUGAAAUGAGAGGAGCGUACUGCUGCUAUCCCAAUAUUUCCCCUUCACCUGAAAACCUGAGAUUGAAUGCCUGAGAGAUGAGAUCAUCUCAGUGGCUGCACUGAAGCUUAAGAGCAGCAGACCUCGAUUUACAAUAUCUCUCUCUCUCAGAUUUUUGGUGUUUACUCUCCUGAGACUGACGGUGUUCUGGUUACACCAGCUUGUUUUCGUUCACUCAGGGAUAUCACGGUUUCCACCACAGCUAGCCUUGAGCAAGAAAAAUACCCUGGAUGAAUUCCAAGCUAAAGUAUGACAACUAUUUCAUUUCAAGCUGAGGCGGUGGGAGGAGGAAAACAUAUACGUUCUUAGAAAUUACACAUAACAAUUUAUCUGUUAAUUUAAUACAAAUGACAUUUAAAUAUUCAGCAACAUAAGAGCAUGUGAUUAAAUCAUGCAAUCAUGUCUGCAGCUCUUAUUUGUUUCGUGUUUGGUUGUUGACAGGUGCCAUGCUGCUCGAAGAGUUUCCCCCAUUUAAAGGCCUCCACUGUGGUCCAGAUCCAGUUGAUCAAAUACCCGUCAUCCCUGAAGAUAUUGAAUAUUUCUAGGAUCCCUCUGGAGUAGCCGAAUAUGGAGAUGCUGGCAUCGGAGAUGGCAAGAUUUAAAGUGAGGAAAUCUGUUGAC